GUUCUCCACCAUUGAAGACACACACAGAUGGUACUCAAUCAGCGCAGGGAUCAGGUACCGAGACAGUUCCUCAAACCACUCUUGCACAGGGGUUGUUGGCUGAGAUCAGCUCAGAGCGACAUAGUGUCAAGCAUAUGCUGAUUGAUCACUUUAAGAAGGACCAUGGAAUGAAAGUUGGAUCUACCAUGAGAUUUGCUAUUGAGGACUUGGUUUUUAAGCUCUUUGGAGAGGGACCUUCUGUGAGUAAGACUCCUACGCAUACAUCUUCACCUAGUCCUUCUAUCACAGCUCCUACACACAAUAAGGUGAAAGAACAUAUACAGAGAGACAUGGAUGGCAUGGGCCUUGGAAACUGCAUGCAAAAUGCAGAGGAUGAUGUCCCUACAGCAAGCAGGUCAAUCUCCCAUGAUUCAGAUGUCGUAGCACAGAACACCAUGAGAUUAGACGCACCUACGACUAGUACAAUGAGAUCAGAUGCACCCGCUUUUCGCCCGACAUUCAGUGCACCACCAUCUGAACAGUUCUUAUCACCAAAGCAGGCUCCUACACGCAGGCGAGAUCCCUCUCCAACGAGUGAGCCAGACAUCGCAGACUACUAUGAUCCGGAAAUGUUUCAAACCAGACGCAUGACUCGAUCAAUGUCUAUGUACUACCACCCGAAGAUUUACCCUCGGGAAUACCCUUAAGUACCUUUCAUUAGUUUUUGUUCGUGUCUUGUUUAGUGUGAUUGCAUUUCGUCUUCAAAUAUUUGUUACAAUUUACAUUUGCUGGAGGUCAGGUCCAUGCCCCCCUCCUCUAUUUGUUUUCCCG
rnacentral:lncRNA from 1 species